AAAUUGAAGAGUUUGAUCAUGGCUCAGAUUGAACGCUGGCGGCAGGCCUAACACAUGCAAGUCGAACGGUAACAGGAAGCAGCUUGCUGCUUCGCUGACGAGUGGCGGACGGGUGAGUAAUGUCUGGGAAACUGCCUGAUGGAGGGGGAUAACUACUGGAAACGGUGGCUAAUACCGCAUAACGUCGCAAGACCAAAGAGGGGGACCUUCGGGCCUCUUGCCAUCAGAUGUGCCCAGAUGGGAUUAGCUAGUUGGUGAGGUAACGGCUCACCAAGGCGACGAUCCCUAG
rnacentral:rRNA from 1 species